AACGAACGCUGGCGGCAGGCCUAACACAUGCAAGUCGAACGCUCCGCAAGGAGAGUGGCAGACGGGUGAGUAACACGUGGGAAUCUUCCUAUCGGUACGGAAUAGCUCAGGGAAACUUGAGGUAAUACCGCAUACGCCCUUCGGGGGAAAGAUUUAUCGCCGAUAGAUGAGCCCGCGUCUGAUUAGCUAGUUGGUGGGGUAACGGCCUACCAAGGCGACGAUCAGUAGCUGGUCUGAGAGGAUGACCAGCCACACUGGGACUGAGACACGGCCCAGACUCCUACGGGAGGCAGCAGUGGGGAAUAUUGGACAAUGGGCGCAAGCCUGAUCCAGCCAUGCCGCGUGAGUGACGAAGGUCUUCGGAUUGUAAAGCUCUUUUGCCAGGGACGAUAAUGACGGUACCUGGAGAAUAAGCCCCGGCUAACUUCGUGCCAGCCGCCGCCGUAAAAC
rnacentral:rRNA from 1 species